AGGUCUCCUAGCUCCUUCCCUGGAUAUUGCUUAUCUUACUUUACAAACUAGUUUAGUGUGCUAGCCCUUAAACAGUGCCAUAUAUGUAUAAGUAAACUGGUACGUGACCGCUGCAGGAUUGGUUAGGGAGGGGGGUUUAGUGUAGGUAUGAGGGAGAGAGCAGCCAGAGGCUUCUAGAAGAGUCUAGAGCAGAAAGUAGUAGACUGAGUAUGGCCAGCAGACUGGAACUGGGCAAGACUCUCAGGGGCCAGCAUGCACUUUGGUAUGCUAAUAGGCACCACAGAGCGCCCUUUGUCCCUUCUGCCAGUGACAAGGUUACUUACUGCCUCUUUUUUUUUUUCCCCCUUUUUAAUGCCUUGUCCUGGAACUCACUCUGUUAGACCAGACUAGCCUCCAAUUCAGAGAUCUGCCUGCCUCUGCCUCCCAAGUGCUGGGACUAAAGGCGUGUGCCACCACUACCUGGCAGUAAUUGCCUCUUUUGAUAGAGGGGAACCAGCUUUAUAAGUUCCUCAGAAAUGCUGGGGGGUUUUGUCUUAACUUCCAUAAUUUGGGGGAGAUGGAGUUUCCUUUGGCUCUGACAGCACAUAGCCAAGGUUUGACCCAGAGCGUUUGGAAGAGCUCCUCCUCCUCCCUCCCUUUCCUUUCCUGUGUUGCUGGUUAACAAAUCCUCUACAUAGCCUAUGGGCUUAGGUACCCCCACGUUAAAUCACUUCUCAGAGUAACGACUUUGUGUCUCAGGCUGCUUGCGAUCUUUGCCUUCUUCAUCAUGGUUAUGUAAGUUUGUCAAACGUUCUUUCUCUUUCCCUGUGAGUUGCCUGAGGCUCUGGUCUCUUAGAAGCAGCACAAGCUAAGCAGAGCUGCAGGGUAGAGUGGAGCAGCAUCUUUAUUGGUCCUUGUCCUGUUUUAUCCUUUGCAUCCCCACUUUAUCUCUUAGGGCCCACACUCUCCUGUGGUUAUUUAUCGCACCACUUUAGGGACUAGAAGCACUUCCAGGGACACAGUUAUUGUCCUGAUUCUUGAAUUGCCACACAGUUAAGUCAACCUCUUGGUCCCCUUGUACCUUCUCUUAAUCCUCUCAUAUAUGCACACUUGGUAGCCACCUAACUGAAAAAAAAAAAUCUAAUCAUUUGUAGUUCAAAUUUUUCCAGUUAUUCUUCAUUGCACUUAAGCUUAAACCCGCAGGAUCUCACCAGGCCUCCAACUUGUUCCUGACAAGUUCUCCUACCCUGCCAAACACAGCAGCACUUUAAUCUUAGUACAGGUCACAGUAUUUCCCUCACAGGACUUUGGCAUAUGUGCAAAAUGUUGUAUUCUAGCUUCUUAACUCUUAUCUUCAUUGCGAUAUGUAUUGCCUGAGAUGAUCUCACUAAUGGCUAACAGUUCCUGAACACAGUGAGUGUUGCUUAAAGGAGAGGGGGAAUGCUCUAACAUACUUGGCAAUACCUAAAAACAUUCUUGGUUGUCAAAACUACAGUGUUACUGAUGGGCGGAGACCAGAAAUGCUGCUAACUUACUCUGCUAUGCACAGGGCAUCCAUUUACGGCAGAAUCAGAUCAAUAAUGUCCAUACCACCCAGGUUGAGAUAUCUAGGCAUAAAAGGGAAUGUCACAUGGUGGCCAGCUCUUUUUCCUUCCUCUGUCUUGUUUCCUAAAACACUGCUAUCUUAGAUUAUGACAUUGGGCGCAUUCAGAAGGGAGGAACAAGAUAAAAGGAAGCUGUGUUGCUAACAGUGCCAUACCUGUCCUGAAGUUCUGCUCAGUACAUGAUGAAAUAAAUGAAUAACAGUAGAUAUCUUUGCCUUUCCUAACAUCCUUAACAUCAGCAGUAUAUGUCUAUAUUUGUAGGGGGGUGUGCACACAUAUAUAAUACACAAAGCCAAUUAGUGUGGGGGUACACGUAUAUAAUACACAAAGCCACCAGCUUUUGUUUGUAUCUUACCUUUUAUUUGAGGAUCUCAUUUAAAAAUUAUAGCCCUCCCCCAAGACUCUGACUUUGAUUGUUUUAUAUUUUACUUUAUUAUUGGUCAUUAGCAUUAUAUAAUGUAUCCAGCCUACUUUUCUGUGCUUCACACCAAAGGAGUGCGCAAGAGAAAUAAAACAUGGUCUGUCUCUUGUGUUUAGUGUUGUGUGCACCACAAGGACAGCAACACUACAAGUACCAGAUGAAAGGUAUGAUGUGUAAGUCUAAUAAACUGGGAAAAAGUUGUUGCCUGGGUUUGGUGAUCAGCAUUCUUCUUAGAUCUGAACAAAGGAUGUGUUUGAAGCUUAGGCUCUGCUCCCCACCCCCACCCCCACCCCCAAUGUCUUCGUGGUUUAGGCAGAUUGCUCCAAGAAUCUAACACUCCUUCAGAAAUCUUUGUUCUCCCAGAAGCACCGCCCAGCAAAUAAUUUGUCUCUUGCAAGGGCUGCCAGCUUCCGGGAGCACAGUGAUGCCUGGAGCACCACUUGUUAGCUGAGGGCUUCCUGGAGUGAUCUUCCACAGAAGCCCACUGAAUGAAAUAUGAGCAACUUGUGUCAAGUUAAUUGUUUUCCUCUUAAAACAAAACCAGUAUAUAGAAAAUACAGACAUUUCAGGGAAAUGUUAUCAGUGGUUAAUUCACAUAUGUAAAUAUAUAAAUACUUUAAAAAUGAGAUCAUGCUUGUGUUUUGAUACUGUCUGACUCUUUUCUUUUUGGUUUUUUUCGAGACAGGGUUUCUCUCUAUAGCCCUGGCUGUCCUGGAACUCACUUUGUAGACCAGGCUGGCCUCGAACUCAGAAAUCCACCUGCCUCUGCCUCCCAAGUGCUGGGAUUAAAGGCGUGUGCCACCACUGACUCUUUUCUAUAUCAAAUAUUCUAUAAAUGUUUACAGGCUAUUUUUGAUAGGUUAAAAAAAAUCAUCUGAUGGAUAGGAAUUUCCCAAAAUGCCCAGGCACCCAGGUUAGGAAUGAUACUGAGCAUAACCACUUAGAACAUGAAAUCAGAAAAGGGUUGAGGCCCACUGUCACCUGGCACAGUGUACUUAGCCCCUGGAUAUUCUGUAUUGGCCCCCAGUACUGGAAUCUGUAAGACACAAGUUACAUAUAACAUACAGUGACCACCCGGAUUCCAAUCCUAUUUUAUCAUUCUAUUUUUAAAGUGAUUAAGACUAAAUCUCAGACUUCCUGAUAAUAUAUGACUUCAUACACAAAGAACUUCAAACAGAUUCUGGUGACAAACUAAAUGGCCAGUGUCAAAAUGUUAUUUUAAAAAAUAAAAUAGAAUCUUACAAUUUAUAGAAUAGUUGUGAAAGUGAAAAAAAAAUCUAGAGAUACAUGGCAGAAUCCCCUAUAACCCUAGCACUUGGAAGGCUGAGACAGGAGGAUUAGUUUGAGGCCAGCCUGAGCCAUAUAACUGAGCUGCAUUAAAACUGGUAGGAAUUGUAGACCCCUGGUUCCAUGUAAUAAAAAUACACUAUGAUGAAAGUGCUAAGCAGUUUAUGAUGACUGUUCCUAACAGUGGGCAGCCCUCUGCCUGCCAAUCUUGUUCCAUUCCACACAAAGCACAGCGCCAUCUUGGUUUAAGUAUGAAGUAAAUGUUUACCUAGUUAAAUUCUGUUCAGAUGUAUCUUUCAGCAAUAUGUCUUUAGAUUGUGACAGGAUGUAAUAUAAUUUUGACAAAUCAUAAAAUGUUAAUCAGCCCC
rnacentral:lncRNA from 1 species